CGUUGUCAGAGUGAUCUCACACUAGAUAUCCAUGCCGAUCUCCCACUAGAAAUGUAUGCCUGGUCUUUUCAAGGGUAUAUGAAGGAUUUUAGAGGAAUGUUC